CAAUGCCUUGAAUGCCAGUUCUGAAGUGUGUCAGAUUCUUGCUAACAAUCCUUAUUUGCAGCAAGGCUACUUUUCUAUUACAUUCUCCAAGAAACUCCAGAUGCUGAAGGACCUUGCUGAGAAAUGCCAAAUACCUACCAUGAAAGAUAUCGUCUCAGUUUCUGGUAGAAAGUUUAAAAAAAUGGUGAGGAAACUUUCCACACUUUUAAAACGAGAGUGAUGGGUCACAAGACAAGUCCACAGCGAGUGCAAAGCAUCGUGAACACAGCAGUGCUCUGCACCCAAUUGUGACUCUUGAGACACAACCUAACUGCAA